AGCUCCAAUAGCGUAUAUUAAAGUUGUUGCAGUUAAAACGCUCGUAGUCGGAUUUCGGGGCGGGCCGACCGGUCUGCCGAUGGGUAUGCACUGGCCGGCGCGUCCUUCCACCCGGAGACCGCGCCUACUCUUAACUGAGCGGGCGCGGGAGACGGGUCUUUUACUUUGAAAAAAUCAGAGUGUUUCAAGCAGGCAGUCGCUCUUGCAUGGAUUAGCAUGGGAUAAUGAAAUAGGACUCUGGUGCUAUUUUGUUGGUUUCGAACACCGGAGUAAUGAUUAACAGGGACAGUCAGGGGCACUUGUAUUCCGCCGAGAGAGGUGAAAUUCUCAGACCAGCGGAAGACGAACCACUGCGAAAGCAUUUGCCAGGGAUGUUU
rnacentral:rRNA from 1 species